CGGAGGAAAAGCAACAACAGGGAUUGCCCUAGUAACGGCGAGUGAAGCGGCAACAGCUCAAAUUUGAAAUCUGGCUUCGGCCCGAGUUGUAAUUUGCAGAGGAAGCUUUGGGCGCGGUACCAACUGAGUCCCCUGGAACGGGGCGCCACAGAGGGUGAGAGCCCCGUAUAGUUGGACGCCUAGCCUGUGUAAAGCUCCUUCGACGAGUCGAGUAGUUUGGGAAUGCUGCUCAAAAUGGGAGGUAAAUUUCUUCUAAAGCUAAAUACCGGCCAGAGACCGAUAGCGCACAAGUAGAGUGAUCGAAAGAUGAAAAGCACUUUGAAAAGAGGGUUAAAUAGCACGUGAAAUUGUUGAAAGGGAAGCGCUUGUGACCAGACUUGCGCCCGGCUGAUCAUCCGGUGUUCUCACCGGUGCACUCUGCCGGGCUCAGGCCAGCAUCGGUUCUCGUGGGGGGAUAAAGGUCCUGGGAACGUAGCUCCUCCGGGAGUGUUAUAGCCCAGGGCGUCAUGCCCCCGCGGGGACCGAGGACCGCGCUCUGCAAGGAUGCUGGCGUAAUGGUCAUCAGCGACCCGUCUUGAAACACGGACCAAGGAGUCAAGGUUUUGCGCGAGUGUUUGGGUGUAAAACCCGCACGCGUAAUGAAAGUGAACGUAGGUGAGAGCUUCGGCGCAUCAUCGACCGAUCCUGAUGUUUUCGGAUGGAUUUGAGUAGGAGCGUUAAGCCUUGGACCCGAAAGAUGGUGAACUAUGCUUGGAUAGGGUGAAGCCAGAGGAAACUCUGGUGGAGGCUCGCAGCGGUUCUGACGUGCAAAUCGAUCGUCAAAUCUGAGCAUGGGGGCGAAAGACUAAUCGAACCAUCUAGUAGCUGGUUACCGCCGAAGUUUCCCUCAGGAUAGCAGUGUUGUCUUCAGUUUUAUGAGGUAAAGCGAAUGAUUAGGGACUCGGGGGCGCUUUUUAGCCUUCAUCCAUUCUCAAACUUUAAAUAUGUAAGAAGCCCUUGUUACUUAGUUGAACGUGGGCAUUCGAAUGUACCAACACUAGUGGGCCAUUUUUGGU
rnacentral:rRNA from 1 species